GCCAGCUCAGAGGGGCCUUCUGCAGAGAUGAACGGGAAGCAGGGCUCUCAUACAGGCUCUUCACUCUUUGCAGGAACGGCUAUCCCCUUCCCCCAAGGUGGAGCUGACAGCCACUGCCUGUGCCUUGUUGUCUGCCUGGCAGGCCAGCACUCCAUGGCUGGGAGCAACCUGCAGUGCCCCCUGGGCUUUUACAGUUCCUGCUGCUGUGGCCUCCACCCUUGGACCAGAUGAAGGAGUUCAUCCCUCUGCCCAUGACCCCACUGCUCCGACCCCUCCACCUGGGCCCCCAUGCUGCUGGAAUGGAGUGAUGGCUUUGUGGCUGGGCCCCAACAGCACCUGCAGUCGGCUCCCAGAACUCACAGACAGCGAGGACUGCCAGGUGCCCCGUGUGUGCAGUACAGGUGCAGAGGAGGACGAGGCAGGCCCCCUGGGAGCUGGCUAUGCCCCUGCGGUGUCCUAGAACAGCUGCAACUGUUGGGACUGCAGAGCCACAGAGAGUUGGAGGAGAAGGUGAGAGCCUUUCCUUAGCCCCAAAGCUCCACAGACCACGUGGACUAAUUCCUGCUCACUUCCAUGUGCAGGGAAUUUUCUUUUUCAGAGGAAGUUGGAGGGACAGAGAGCUUGGGGGAUCCACAAAGAGUCUCGGCAGAGUGAACACCUAAGCUGAGGCCCUGACUCAGCUAUGUGCAGGUUUGGGUAUCAGUCACCAUCCCGCUGCCUUCUCACCCCGGGCCCUGUUGUCCCUCAGCAGUGCCCACCUGAACAGGAGCCAGGCCCACAGUGCUCCAGCUGCAUUUUGUGCUCUCUGCACUACUUCACAGGCAGAAGCCCCAGCUGCCAGCCCUGCCCCUCAGCUCCUGAGUGUUCCACGGCCCCACCGUUGCCUGUGUUCUUAGAAGUGGGUGCAGGUAACCCAGACAGCAGCAAGCUGGGGAGAGGCCAGGUUGGGUCAGUCUUCAUUCCCAACCCACAGAUGACAGGCAGGAAAGAUGAGUGGUCGCCUCACCAGCCACCGUGGAUGUGAAUGCUCUGGCCACAGGGCAGCAGCGGCGAAGGCACGGAGGGGAGCCCAGCACAGGAGGGCAGGAGGGAAGCGGCUCAGACACCAUGUGAUCAAGGUUCUCUCAUCAACUCACCUCCACUUCUGCAAGGCAUUACCGCCCCCACCUUGAGGCCCUCGGCUUUCCCUUUGCCCACCCACUCUGGUGUGUGUUGGGGACAGGCCAGGUGCCAGGGCUGGGAGGGGGCCCCUGGAGAGGAGGGGGCAUGGGCUACAGAGCUGCUCCAUGGGAAAGAACAGGCCCUGGUGCUGCUUUGCCUGUCAAUAAGAAGUGGGGGCCUCAGCUAAGUGUCUGGUGGUCUUGCAGGGG